CCCAGCCAGUGGAACAGACCAGCUGGCCCGGCUCAUCGAUGAGAGAUGCUAUUUGAGUUGUCAUUUCCGUUGCCAGGCCUCACAUCUGUAGCUUGGGAUGCGCCCACUUGUCUCUGGGAUCUGCAUCUGCUCCUGGAGCUCAUUCAAAGGGAAUGGCUCUUGGAAUCAAGGUCCAUUGUGGAGAAAGAUGGCCUUUCCUCUAUCCAGUGAAGAGAUUUCUCCUUGGGUGCCGCCUCUGGACAUCUUGGAACCUGGAAGAAUUUGCCAUGGAAGCAAUGACAAUCUUGUCAUAGAAGCAGUGGUGAUCAGAGCAAGAAAUGAACCAAUACAUCAUCUGGACUGACUCCUGUGUCAUAUAGAUAGGAAACUGAGACCCAGAGAGGAAAAGAAGUUCCAGGCAUCAGUGUGUUGGGGCCACUGGCAUAAACAGUGAACGGCUUGAUGUAAAACCAGAGUCCAGUUGCUGAAGGCCUGCUUCCCUCCACUAAACACCCUAUAUCUCCUUAUAAAGUAAAGGGUAGAGGGGAAAAGGGAACAUUUUUGGAAUUAAGAGCAUUAUGCACACCUAUAUAUUUACUAAUCAUGGAGGCCAGUUAAUGUUCUAUGUUUGGGAGAUUGGGACCCUGGGGGCCUAACUUCGAGUCUCAUCUCUACCCUGUUCUAGCUGGAUGACUUUGAGUGAAGAACCCAUCUCCAAGACUCUGUUUCUUUACCCAUAGUAUGGGUUUGAUACCUGUGCCUGUUCUGUGGAGUCGUUAUAAGGAUAAAGUGAGUUGAUAUAUGCACCAAGUUUCUAAUACUGUAUGUGGCACACAGUAGGUCUUCAACAAGUGCAACUUAUUAUUAUUGCUCAUAAGCAUUUAGAGAAAUAUUUGAAGG
rnacentral:lncRNA from 1 species